UCCGCGCUGGUGUAAUGGCUAACAUCGCUGUCUUUCACACAGCAGCUCGGGGUUCGAUUCCCCGGCGCGGAA
rnacentral:tRNA from 1 species